rnacentral:tRNA from 1 species
UUACUUAUAAGUAUGUUUGUACUUCCACCUUCCAAGCGGAGAGACUCCACCUAUAGGAGAUAAGUGAU